UACGUAGGGGGCUAGCGUUGUCCGGAUUUAUUGGGCGUAAAGAGCGUGUAGGCGGCCAGGUAGGUCUGGUGUGAAAACUCGAGGCUUAACCUCGAGAUGUCAUCGGAAACCAUCUGGCUAGAGUCCGGAAGAGGAGAGUGGAAUUCCCGGUGUAGCGGUGAAAUGCGCAGAUAUCAGGAAGAACACCAAUGGCGAAAGCAGCUCUCUGGGACGGUACUGACGCUGAGACGCGAAAGCGUGGGGAGCGAACAGG
rnacentral:rRNA from 1 species